rnacentral:rRNA from 1 species
CGCGAAUGGCUCAUUACAACAGCUAACAAAUCUACUUGAUCUUGACACAAUCCUACUUGGAUAACUGUGGUAAUUCUAGAGCUAAUACAUGCAUUAAAGCUCUGACCUUCGGGGAAGAGUGCAUUUAUUAGAACAAAACCAAGCGGCUUCGGCCGUUUUCGGUUGACUCAUAGUAACUGAGCUGAUCGCAUGGUCUUGCACCGGCGACGUGUCUUUCGAGUAUCUGCCGUAUCAACUUUCGAUGGUAGUGUAUCUGACUACCAUGGUGAUCACGCGUAACGGAGAAUAAGGGUUCGACUCCGGAGAGUUCGCCUGAGAAAUCGCGAACACAUCUAAGGAAGGCAGCAGGCGCGAAAAUUACCCACUCUCAGCACGAGGAGGUAGUGACGAAAAAUAACGAGACCGUUCUCUUAUGAGGCCGGUCAUCGGAAUGGGUACAAUUUAAACCCUUUAACGAGUAUCUAUGAGGGGGCAAGUCUGGUGCCAGCAGCCGCGGUAAUUCCAGCU